GGUCACCCACUAAGGCAAGCACCUACAUUUACAUGUGAAAAUAAUAAAGAUCAAUUCCAUUACUUCUAAAUUGAUGGAAAAGCCACCACUGCAACAGUAUGAACAAUACCUUGUAAUUUUCAUGAGUAAGAACUGAUAACUAAAAGAGGACCAUACAAUGCAACUGAAAAGUGACAAGAUAUGCAUCUAACUUGUAUAGAAAUU
rnacentral:misc_RNA from 1 species